GCUGGGCGUGGUGGCUCACGCCUGUAAUCCCAGAACUUUGGGAGGCUGAGGCGGGUGGAUCACCUGAGGUCAGGGGUUCGCGACUAGCCUGACCAACAUGGUGAAACCCCGUCUCUA
rnacentral:SRP_RNA from 1 species